UCACUGUCUCCGUACACAGAUGACCCACCCUCCUGCUUUGCUAAUAAGAUCCAGCCCAUCUUCAAGCUCCUCUGCCCAGAAAGGGAAACGUUAAAACAAAAACAGAGAAACAUCUAAGAAGGCACUUGCAAUGUAGUGAGAAAGAUCAGCAAAUUAAAAAAAGAAAACCUGACUGUGGGAAUAUGGAAGACUACGGGACCGUGGGAGAAUGUCACGAUCCAUGCGAGCCCACUGCUGGUCCUGAGUUCCAGAGGCGAGAAAUCCCAAAUUAAGGUGUUGGCAGAGCCACGGUCUCUCUGAAG